rnacentral:rRNA from 1 species
UGGGGAAUAUUGCGCAAUGGGGGGAACCCUGACGCAGCCAUGCCGCGUGAAUGAAGAAGGCCUUAGGGUUGUAAAGUUCUUUCGGUAUUGAGGAAGGUUGAUGUGUUAAUAGCACAUCAAAUUGACGUUAAAUACAGAAGAAGCACCGGCUAACUCCGUGCCAGCAGCCGCGGUAAUACGGAGGGUGCGAGCGUUAAUCGGAAUAACUGGGCGUAAAGGGCACGCAGGCGGUUAUUUAAGUGGGGUGUGAAAGCCCCGGGCUUAACCUGGGAAUUGCAUUUCAGACUGGGUAACUAGAGUACUUUAGGGAGGGGUAGAAUUCCACGUGUAGCGGUGAAAUGCGUAGAGAUGUGGAGGAAUACCGAAGGCGAAGGCAGCCCCUUGGGAAUGUACUGACGCUCAUGUGCGAAAGCGUGGGGAGCAAACAGGAUUAGAUACCCUGGUAGUCCACGCUGUAAACGCUGUCGAUUUGGGGGUUGGGGUUUAACUCUGGCGCCCGUAGCUAACGUGAUAAAUCGACCGCCUGGGGAGUACGGCCGCAAGGNUA